AACAUUUUCAAAUGGGUACUUCUCUUUUAGUAAUAUAGAUUAUAAUCCUUAGAUGCACAAACCAUGCACGAUUCUCAUAAACAGAAAAAUAAUUAUUUCAGAUUCACAAAGUUCACACACAUACGAAAAUAAAACUCAUAAUAAGCAAAUCUAGAAAUCUUAAUACUCAGAUCUAUCAAUUUCAAUUAUCAAGUUCAUAGAUCUAUUAUUCUUAAUGGAUUAAACAGAUGUUCAUAACCAUGCUCUGAUACCACAUGUAAGUUAAAUUUACAUGAACCCUAACAUAUUUAAACAUCUAGGUUAAUCACAUAAUAGAAUCAUAUGAAUGUUUAUAGAGUUACCUGGAUUCAUUGUGCCUGAGAGAUCUUCCUGAAUGGAUUGAAUCCUGAAUGGAAGAUGAACAGCUCAAUCUCUUCUUAGGAACUCUUAGGUUUCUCUCGUCUCGCCUAUAACAUUAGUUGUCGCUCUUUUUUUUGGAUCUCUUUAUGAUGGUCUAAAGAUAUGUAUUUAUAGGUGGAGAGAUGACUUAAUUCCUCUUUAGAGUUUCUUUAGAUUAAUCUCAACUGUCCAUCAAGGUAGAGAUAAAUUAGGAAUUACUCAUUUAUUUCCAAUUUCAUUGGUCACCAAAUAUAUUAAGGGAUAACAAUAUUUCAAUAGAAAAUGGAUAACUAUAAGACCAUAUAAUAGGGAAAGGAAAUAUUCCUUAAGAGACAAACAUUGAUCUUAAUGUUAACACGAAAUUGACAUGAUCUAUCACUCGACUCAGAAUGCUUCUGGCAAUAAGGUUAAACACAGCCUUCACACCAAGCCAAAACACUUCGGCUACAAAAAAAUAUAUAAGAAACGUCUUUCGUGAAACAUCAUUUGAAACGUUUCUGGUACAACUUUCAAGAGAUAGCUCUCGUCUAAUGAGGAUGAGCUAUACAAAUUUUUUUUGGAAAAAUUCAUGCAAAAUGAUUUUUUAAAUAAACAAAAUCACUCUAUUUGCUUCAGUCCAACAAAAGAGUUUCUUCCUUGCAAGCGAUCAGGUGUCUCUUGCCUUCUUCCUUGCAACAAACUACGAAGAAGACUUACACCUACCGUCUCCUUGCGACAAACUCCAAGGACCACUCUCUCAUAGCCUCAUGCUCGAUAUUAACUGUGGACAAGGCUCUCUCACAUAAUUACUAACGGCUCUCAUUGCCUCGUGUUCCCAAUCAAUCGUGAGUAUGGCCUAUCUAUUUGAUCGUAAGGCUUAAACAAAGCUUACAAGUAGAACCAAAACGUUUAUAGGUCAGAAGGUUAAAACCAAACCUUCAUACCAAAAUGAAACAUAUAGGUGACUUAUAAUUUGGUUUGUUAAAUAAAAAGUUUUUAUUGAAGUAUGGUAAAAAUAAGUAGUGAAUUAAAGAAAUUUUUAUUUCAUAAUGUUUUUAACUUGGGAAGAAAAGUAUUUGGUCCUCAAACGAAGUAAUUAAGUUGUCUGCAAGAUGAGUGAAAUCAUAUAACUCAAAUAAAUCCUAGAGAUAUCUUUUGUAAUUCUCAUAGUCUAUGUCUAUGUAACAACCCAAUAAAGAGCCCAUUGUUAGUUCAUUAUUUGCCUCAAUCCAAGAAAAGAAAAAUAAAGUCUUAAACCUUUCUUACAAAUAUUUAUAACUGUACUUCCCUCUUUUUAUCCAUCAAAAAGGUAGUUCUUUGCUUUGAGUCACUAAUCGUUAAAUAAUCCAACGACUGGUCCUCAUCAAGUUUUUCCCACCAGAAAAUUUUCCGGCGAGCUUUUGGGCAAGUUUCCAACAUAUUUUUAUGGCGAGUGAUAGGUGAAAUUCAGUUGAGUUUCAGCAAGUUUAUCAAUGACUUCCCAAAUCGUUUUCAACGAGUUAUGAAAAAAUCAUUGGAAAUUGUCUAGAAGAAAUACGGGGUUCUGGCGGAAAAGACUAAGAAAGAACGCUCGUAAGGAGACCUAUUGAAACCAAGAAAUAUAGGCAUGCCCGCCAUCCACACCAAAAUAAAUGGAGUUUUCCAAAAAAACCUGCUAGUGGAGGAAGACCUCGGUUUCGCGUUCUUCUUUGCCAAUAAGUAUCUCAAAGCCGCGUGGUCACCAUUCGUGCAGGUCGCUACUUAUGCGACAAGGAAUUUAGGAGGGUGACCCUUAUGAUAAAGGAAAGAAGAUGAUUGAAAGGUUCUCAAUAUCCAAUGGAUUUCCAUCCUUCAUUAAUGGAAAUUUUUUGCUUGAUCAUUUGCUCUCGUUAGACCGCCCUAGAGUACGAUACUGGUUCGCCAUAGGUCCGAAGGGCUGUCUCUUGUGUGCGAUGGUUAGGCAUGAAUGGAACUUGCUCGGUAGGCUUUCAGGGUUUAGUUAAGACUUUGCCGUCUUUUCCUCUCGCUUCGUAAAAAGUCUGUUGAACGCUUUUGUGCUAUUUGAUAUUUUUUUGUGUAUUUCAUUUACUGGAGAUGUUAUUUAAUUAUUAAUAAACUGUAAUUUAGGAUAAUUUAAAGAUA